GUGGCUAAAUAAUUACAUUAUUAAAUGAAGAAGAAAUAAUUGCAUUAUUAAAUGAGGAGGACAUUUAGUCCUCUACGGCCUAUUCCCAUAAAAUUGUAACUGUAUACCAUUUAUAUUUAUAUCAUUAAAUUUUCAAACAUAAUCUCCUCAAUUACCUAAGUAAAUGCAAAAAACGUUUGGGAAAUGAAAGAUCCGAAAACUAUUCAACAACGUGGGUUUUUUGUUACAAAGCUCUUUGGAUGAAUCUCAUUUAAUCUAUGCUCUCUCAUCAUGUUAUGAGAAGAGUCAUAACUAUUAGUAAGAGAAUGCAUAUUGAAGUUUUAUACUGUUAAUGAAUGUCCGUAAUGUGACGCAGUGACGGUGCGGGAUUAGCAUAUACUAUAAUUAGGUUCAUUCUCAUCUUUGAUCACAACAGAAAUUUCAUAUAUUCUCCAUGCCUACGUUUCAUUUUUCACCAAUAUUAUAGACUAAUUGUCAUUUUCGCCCAGCAUUUUUCGUACGAAGACGUGACUAAUUGCUUGGAUCAAGAUAAUCUUCAUAUAGUUACAUGUCAACAAUGAAUAAAAUGGUUGAUCUAUAGUUCAUAAUGGAGAAACAAGAAGACAUAUGGGUAAUAACAAUGCCUACGAAAGCGGGCUGAUCAGUUGGACUACAA